rnacentral:rRNA from 1 species
AAAAUACGGGAGGCAGCAGUGGGGAAUAUUGCGCAAUGGGGGCAACCCUGACGCAGCCAUGCCGCGUGAAUGAAGAAGGCCUUCGGGUUGUAAAGUUCUUUCGGUAGCGAGGAAGGCAUUUAGUUUAAUAGACUAGGUGAUUGACGUUAACUACAGAAGAAGCACCGGCUAACUCCGUGCCAGCAGCCGCGGUAAUUUU